rnacentral:rRNA from 1 species
GACGUAGGGCGCGAGCGUUGUCCGGAUUUAUUGGGCGUAAAGAGCUCGUAGGCGGCUUGUUGCGUCGACUGUGAAAACCCGCGGCUUAACUGCGGGCUUGCAGUUGAUACGGGCAGGCUAGAGUUCGGUAGGGGAGACUGGAAUUCCUGGUGUAGCGGUGAAAUGCGCAGAUAUCAAGAGGAACACCGGUGGCGAAGGCGGGUCUCUGGGCCGAUACUGACGCUGAGGAGCGAAAGCGUGGGGAGCGAACAGG